GAAGGCAAGAGGCUGUCAUCGUUCACAUCACAAGGACCAGAGACACCUUUCCUGGGAAGAGAGCUGACAAACCUUCUAUGGUAAGGGGUGAACAUCCUUGGGAAGCCACAGAGAGCAAGGCGCAGUUUUUCAUUGAUCACCACCUUCAAGAUGCUCCCAGAAUCGUGCUGUCUAGGAAGCCAUUUAAACUGGUGAGAAGCCAUCCUCUCUUGAAUGGGGGCUCCCACUGUACAUCUGGCACCCACUUCACAGAUCCAUGAACUGGAAGAUGCUUUCUUAUAACUCAGAGAAAAGAGAUGAAAAUGAAUCAAAGAACAGGAAGGAGACAAGCUCAGGAGAGUCACCCUAAGAAGGACGUGUGGAAGACUUGACUGAUUGGAGGAUCAAAAUGUGUCGGGGGAAGGUGUACAAGGAGGAGUAAGGACACAGAUGUCCUGACUUCACACAGUGGGGGAUUAGAAGCCACCAUCAAAUACAGAUGAAACAGGAAUAAAAGUAGUAGUACAUUACUUAAGCUUUAAAAGGGUAAGACUCCUGGGAAUUUGGAAGCUGAGACUUGAGGCAAGUAUUUAGGAUUUGCUGUCUCACCUCC
rnacentral:lncRNA from 1 species